rnacentral:rRNA from 1 species
UACGUAGGGGGCGAGCGUUGUCCGGAAUUACUGGGCGUAAAGGGCGCGCAGGCGGCCGUGUAAGUCCGCUGUGAAAGACCGGGGCUCAACCCCGGGGUGUCAGCGGGGACUGUACGGCUGGAGUCCCGGAGAGGGAGGCGGAAUACCUGGUGUAGCGGUGGAAUGCGUAGAGAUCAGGUGGAACACCGAUGGCGAAGGCAGCCUCCUGGACGGGUACUGACGCUGAGGCGCGAAAGCGUGGGGAGCGAACGGG